rnacentral:rRNA from 1 species
GUAGUCUGCAACUCGACUACAUGAAGCUGGAAUCGCUAGUAAUCGCGGAUCAGAAUGCCGCGGUGAAUACGUUCCCGGGUCUUGUACACACCGCCCGUCACACCAUGGGAGUCGAUAACGCCCGAAGUCAGUGACCCAACCUGUAAGGAGGGAGCUGCCGAAGGCGGGAUUGAUAACUGGGGGUGAAGUCGUAACAAGGUAAC